rnacentral:rRNA from 1 species
GUCUACGGCCACACCACCCUGAACAAGCCCGAUCCCAUCUGAUCUCGGAAGCUAAGCAGGGCUGGGCCUGGUUAGUACUUGGAUGGGAGACCACUUAGGAAGACCAGGUGCUGUUGGCA